rnacentral:rRNA from 1 species
AGCUCCAAUAGCGUAUAUUAAAGUUGUUGCAGUUAAAAAGCUCGUAGUUGGAUUUGUGGUUCGUCCCGCCGGCUGGGUCUCUGACCUUUGCUGUGCUGGUCGUCCAUCCUUGGGUGGAAUCUGUGUGGCAUUAGGUUGUCGUGCAGGGGAUGCCCAUCGUUUACUGUGAAAAAAUUAGAGUGUUCAAAGCAGGCUUAUGCCGUUGAAUAUAUUAGCAUGGAAUAAUGAUAUAGGACCUUGGUACUAUUUUGUUGGUUUGCGCACUGAGGUAAUGAUUAAUAGGGACAGUUGGGGGUAUUCGUAUUCCAUUGUAAGAGGUGAAAUUCUUGGAUUUUUGGAAGACGAACUACUGCGAAAGCAUUUACCAAGGAUGUUUUCAUUAAUCAAGAACGAAAGUAGG